rnacentral:rRNA from 1 species
ACCCGCUGAAUUUAAGCAUAUAAGUAAGCGGAGGAUAAGAAACUAAAUAGGAUUCCCUCAGUAAUGGCGAAUGAACAGGGAUUAGCUCAGCAUGGAAAUCGGGGCCUCUGGCCUUGAAUUGUAGUCUCGAGAGGUAUCGCCAACGGAGGCGCAGAUGUAAGCCUCUUGGAAAAGAGCAUCAACGAGGGUGAGAGUCCCGUUUGUCAUCUGCAGUCCCCCGUGCACGGCGUACUUUCUAAAGAGUCACGUUCCUCGGGAUUGGAGCGCAAAGUGGGUGGUAAAUUUCAUCUAAAGCUAAAUAUAGGUUCGAGACCGAUAGCAAACAAGUACCAUGAGGGAAAGGUGAAAAGGACUUUGAAAAGAGAGUUAAAAGUGCCUGAAAUUGCUGAAAGGGAAGCGAAUGGAACCAGUGCUUCUUGGCAAGAUUGGUGCGUGCUAAUGUGAUUGCCUGCUUCCUCAGCGCAAGCGUGGCUGUGGGUUUUGAUCAGGACGCGCGUGUUGUUUCUUGCCUUGUGUGUCAACGUCAGUUCUCAAUCGAGGAAAACGCCAGGGACAUGGUAGUUUGCCCAUGGGUGAGCGAAUGUGCUUGGUUGAACUCAUUUGUGAACUGGUUCUUGCGUGUCUGGUUGCAGUGCUCUGUGUCCCCAUGACUCUCUGGUGGGCUUGCCUUCCUGGGAUGGAGUGGGUGACCAGGACAUCUCCCUGACACAACGACGAGACUAAAUGGUUCUAUUCGACCCGUCUUGAAAC